CCAUGGCUUUGACCUUGACCUACAUAACCUCCUGCACAUUAUUACAUUAAAUUUUAAUUUUUAAUAAUAAUGCAUAUUUAAUAUAUAUAUAUAUAUAUAUAUAUAUAAAA